CCUACGGGUGGCAGCAGUGGGGAAUAUUGCACAAUGGGGGAAACCCUGAUGCAGCGACGCCGCGUGAGUGAAGAAGUAUUUCGGUAUGUAAAGCUCUAUCAGCAGGGAAGAAAAUGACGGUACCUGACUAAGAAGCCCCGGCUAACUACGGGCCAGCAGCCGCGGUAAUACGUAGGGGGCAAGAGUUAGCCGGAUUUACUGGGUGUAAAGGGAGCGUAGACGGCCCGACAAGUCAGAAGUGAAAGCCCAGGGCUCCACUCUGGGACUGCUUUUGAAACUGCCGGGCUGGAGUGCAGGAGAGGUAAGCGGAAUUCCUAGUGUAGCGGUGAAAUGCGUCGAUAUUAGGCGGAACCCCAGUGGCGACGGCGGCUUCCUGGACUGUAACUGACGUUGCGGCUCGAACGCGUGGGGAGCACACAGGAUUAGAUACCCCUGUAGUC
rnacentral:rRNA from 1 species